GCCAUUUUUGUCUUUUUUGUUCAAAUGGUAAUUUUGUAUUCUCAUGUUUAGAGAGCUUAUGUGUGUAUGUGUCCCUUCUCCAAACAGGGACUUGAUCUCCAUGUUUUGAGAGUGAAUGAAUGAGAGAGAAAGAGAGAGAGAGGGCAAUUGCACAACACAUCCUUUCUCUCACCAGCUCUUCAUCCCCAGAUAGACGAAAUAGAAAUGCAUACAUUUGUAAAUGUCAGCUUUUGCGCUCAUCACAUGAUGACCACCACUAGUUCAUUUCCCUUUGCUUCUCCCCACAGGGAGCUGUCUCUAGACCAGUGAGGACUAGUAGACAGGGCAAAUCAUGAGGGACAUUACUGUGUGUGCAUCUGAAUGAGACUUUGUGUGUGUAUGUGUGUGUGUAUGUGUGUGUGUGUAUAUGUAUGUAUGUGUGUGUGUGUGUGUAUGUGUUUUCAGAGUGCAUGUUCAUUUACUGUUCAUAGAAAUGAGUUAAGACUACAGGUACUCAUUUUGAAUACAUGUGCUUUUUUGUAUGUGUAUGAAUGCACAUUUGUGCCUAAGAACUUGGAUAGGGUGCGUGGCCAUUGAGACAUUAACUCUUUUUUGAGAGCAAGUGUGACGUGUGUCAGUGCUCAGCACAGUGUAUGUAAAGUAUGUAAGUUUAUAUCGUAAAUAUUUCUAGUUCAGUCUAGGGGUGAUCCAUCGGAAGGUUAGUCCAGUCUGUUUUCCUGGGGUGUGAUCACGUUGCCUUUUGUCAGCUCUCGAACUUGUGAAUGAAAGGUGUCGAGUUUCUGACUCUGAAAAAAAAAAAAUACAGCAUCUUAAUGUGCAAGUGCACAGAACGGUGCAUGAAAUGUUAGCAUAUUGUGUUACUUAUUCGUUGUUGCAAUUUGAUAAUGACGAGUUUUCUUUUUUUAAUGAAAAAUAUAUAUGAAUAUAUACAUUAUAUACAAAGUUUAAAAAGUAUUUGGACUAAGAUAAUGAGCACUUGGGGCUGCUAUUUUUGUUGUGUUUUUAAUUUUUUUUUCCUUAAUUUGUUUUUCAUUUUGUUUCAUUAUCGCCAUGUGAAGUGUGUGUAUUAUUUCUUAAGAAAAUAUUGAAUGUAUUCCAAAAAAAUGACAAGAAACCCGUGCUGAUACCAGAUAUUAUUUUUUCCUCAGAAGAUUUCAAAAAUGGAAACAAAAUACAAAAAAGCUUCAGUUUAGCGAGGUCUUUUUAUUUUUUUUUUUAUUUUCACAGUGGAGAAGAAAAAAAAAAAAACUCGGGAUGGAUACAGUUGAACACACUGCCUCUACAAUCCUGGUCGUACAAAUAGUGACUAAGAAUUCAAAGAAAGGACUCUUUCUAUUCCAUACUGGAGCUUUGGUUGUUUACAAACCACAUGGAUAUCUGUGGGUGCAGUUUUGUUUUUUCUUUUUUGUUUGUUUGAAUAAUUUUUUUUUUUUUUUUUUUGUUCUAAGAUAAGACGGGUGGGGUUUGCAAGUGCGCUUCUGCCAUAUGGACAUUGAGUGGUGUUGUUUUUUUUGUUUUUUGUUUUGUUUUGAGGAAGAGUGGCAGGCAUCACAAUAACAUGGACAAGAUCCUCUAACUGGACCCUUUGUGUGCGGUUGUGGAUCCUGAGACUCGAUGAUCAACCAUGGAGCGAAGGCGGGAAAAUCAAGGAUUGGCUCUGUUUUGUGGAGAACGGAGUGCAGGGCUGCAUAACCCUGGAGGGAACUGAGAGGGCGAUAUGAGUACACCUGGUUCGUGCACUUGUUUUCACCUCAACCCUCAUAAGCACUCACACCCUGCCCUCACCAACUCACCUAUGCACUUUUGUUCAUUCAAGCUGUGAGGUACCAUUUUGGGGAUGGGAGCACAAUUACAACAGGAGGAUUGCUACGACUUUGACAAAGUCACUGAAAAGAUAUUCCCAAACUGAAAAAAGAGACUCGAGAAGCACGUCUUCUCCCACCUCCUGUAUAUAACCAUAUUUUUGUAUUACCUUUCAGAGUAGAAAGAAAAGUUGCAAAUGGAUGAAGGAAAAUUCAUGAGACAUUGAUUAUAUGGAGUGAAUGUUCUUCAAGAAAACCAAUCUUUUUUGAAAAUAGUUUGAGAUAGAACUGCUGUGAGUUUCCCGUAGUUUGCCAGUAACCCUGAAAUAAUCGGGGAUGGAAGGGAAAACCACAUUGAACAUGAACUGAGGUGCUCGACAUGCUACAGUGUCUACAAGACUGACUGAUAGUUAAUUAUCAAAGUGGAUGUUGCAGUGGCUACAAAGCCCCGCCCAAGAGUGUUUGAUCAACAUACACAGUAAAGAGGCAGACGGGUUAGAAGAAGCUGUCGGCAAGGGUGCUUCCACUUCGUCUCCAAACCUGAUGACUGCCUCGAGAGCUGUAGCAUGACUGCAGGAGCAAAAAUCCUUGGAUUUGGUGUCUGGCUGUGCUUUAUUUGCUGCCCUCUACAAUGAGGAUCUAACCUACAGUCAACCCAUGAACCAGUUAACCCUAAACCUGUCCUUUUGAACUUGAACCCUAAGAAACUUUUCUGUCUUGACCUCAGACUGGGCAGGCCGGUGGCAUUAUCAGUUGGACAGUUACAAGAUGAAGUUACAGGUUUUUCAACCAUGGAUCCCAUCUGUGUUUGAAGUGUUAAGCUGGGCAUUUGAUCAGGCACUCUCCGGCGAGGAAGAGGAUACAUAGACACGAAUUGCCCAGAUGUCAUCAUCCACCUCGGCCUGAAACUCUUGGGUGGUGCGUGGAGGUCUUCUAACCAGCGGGACUCCUGCUAGGACGUCAGAGACAGAGCUGGGUCGGGUUUCGGUGGAUGUGGCUGGAUUACAUCUAAGCCAAUAGAAAUCCCUGCAGCUGUGGAACUGGAUGAACUGAAAGAAUUGUACAGAAAAAUAGACUUUGAAACAUGACAAAAUACAAACACGUAGCGACAUGUCACAUAGAUUCUAGAGUCCAAAGGAGUGGCAGACACUACAUGCACACUUACAACAAAAAAGCAACGUACACUCAGUUACAUUGGCUCUCCUCUGGAACCGCAUCUGUACACAUAACAGGGCUACAUCAAUAUCAAAUCACAUAAGACAUGUACAGACACACACAAGCAUCAAUGCUCUUCACUAUAAAUGCUGAGCUCUGUAAAUAAUGUAAAAGAUGGGUGUUUUGAUUUUUUUCUUUUUUUUUUUUUUCUCAUAGUGGGUUUUUGCUUUAUUUCUCUGUUCAACAUGCCUUAAAUUGUAUAGUUCAGUUCUGAACAGCUAACUGAAAAUGUUCUCUGAAUGAUGAAUUUACAUUGGAAACCACCUUGUUACCUGUCCUCUAAAGUUAAAGAAAGGAAGGAACUUUCAACAAGACUGUUUUCUGUUGGCUAACAGAACUGUCUGUUCUGUUUUAACUUCAUAAAUGUACAUCUGAUCACCAUGAAAGUUACUAAUUAGCUACAGAAUAGAGCAGCAAAGCGGUCUUUGAUUAAUCUGAUUUUUGCUGGUGGUUGGCUUAUGUUGCCCUUUUGGUUUCCUUAAAAUGAAGAGUGGAUUUGUUUAGAUUUUUCUUUGUAGAUUAUUGCUAACAGUGCAGGCUGAAGUCUGUACUGUCUGGAGCUGAGCUGACAGGGUGAGAUGCACAGAACUGGCACAGACUUGUUGUGUGAUGACUGUUGUUGGAUACACUGCUCUAGGCAAAACUGAACCAGGGUGACAGGUCAUCUGCAAAUUGAGAUACAAACUGGGGCUGUUUCGUUCAUUUUUUUUUUUUUUUUUUUUUUACACUCCGGGGACUUAAAUGUUUUGGAAGCUACUAGGUUCUUUUUACAGUUUUGAGAUGACGACUCGGGCUUGUGUAAGAAACGUGACUGUUAGAGCAAGCUUGCAUGAUUUGUAAUAUUUGUGAGUUUUGACACUAAACCUUGAGGUGGGUCACGGGGGGCUUUUGCUCUCUCUGUGCACCUGGUAGUGUUGCUGACCAUCUCGGGUGGCCCUGAAUAGAGAAGGACUCGACCAUACAGUUGUGUUACCUGAAACGAAAUUCCUCAAAAUUGGGUAGUGUCUUGUUCAGUGUAUGUAUACCUAACUGGAUAUGAGAGAUUAAUGCUUUUAGUCGACCAGUAGUUUCUUCUUUUUUUUGUAUCCUUGAUAAGUAAACAAUAUGCAGUUUUUAAUUGAAAUGACAACUGAUAUUCAUUGAAAACCAUCAGCUUGGACUUGUAAUACACUUGUACAUUUUGAUUAGCUGAGGUUUUGGUGGACAGUUACCUGCCAUAGCUAACUGUGUAAAAUGUGGUAGCCACAGCAGGCUCCAGCAUGUCAUAACUGUUGAAUUGAUACUGACGUAAUACUAAAUGGUUUCUAUAUUAAAGUAGUUGUAAUCAGUUGCCAAAACGGAGAAAUUGACUUUAAACAUACAAGUAUGCUAUCAAGUCUCUGUGGAUGACUUUAAAUAUACCAGUGUUUGACAUUUUUAAAAGCUGAUCUUGUGUGGCAUUAGUUGUUGGUAAGUCAGUCUGUCUUAAAAGAGUGAACAGUAGUUGUUUUCAGUUUAUUUUACUGAACUACAAAAGCUUUUAUAAUUAGUUAAAAUGGAUGUUUGGUUGUAAGCCUUUGAAAAUUUCAUGUCACAGCCUGUCCUCUGACAGUAUGAAGUUGAUCAUCCGGUUAAUUGUACCUCUGGUAACUGUAGUUCCAACAAUAUUAGCUGUUAUACCCCAGUCAGCUCAGCUCCUUUGCUUAAAAAGUCUUUGAAUGUUGUUAAAAAUAACAGCAUACAUGUAAUGAAACUGUUUUGGAAAAGAACAACUGAAAGAUGUGUAAAUAGUUUGGCUUUUGUUUGUUUGAAGAACAAAAUAAAUACUAAAUAAAUAGCAUUUAGCAGUGA